rfam:TPA: Bos taurus chromosome 4, whole genome shotgun sequence.
UUCCUUGUAGCUCAGCUAGUAAAGAAUCUGCCUGCAAUGCAGGAGACCCUGGUUCAAUUUCCGGGUCAGGAAG